rnacentral:lncRNA from 1 species
CUACUUUCUUUUUGGCUAAUUAUUAUAUAUUUAAUUGAUCCAACUUUUUGUGUACUAUACAUAUGUGGAUAUUUUUCUUUUUUUUCCUUUUUGGGCUGCUUGUUUGUUAUCUAUAUCAACCACACUUGUAAUAAAAUGCAUUAGUAUUAAAAAAAACCAACAUACUAUAGAUUCUUUAUCUACGUAUUCUUUAAGAACUUAAAUAGUUCUCGUUUAACUUUUUUUUUUUAUCUCAUUGUUUGUAUUGUAUUAUGAAAAAAUUAUUGAUGUUGUAAUGUUUAUGCCCUUU